AAAAUACUCCCUCCGUCCAAAAAUACUUGUCAUCAAAAUAAAUAAAAGGGGAUGUAUCCAGAACGUCUGGAUACAUCCCCUUUUAUCAAAAUGAAUAAAAGGGGAUGUAUCCAGAACGUCUGGAUACAUCCCCUUUUAUUCAUUUUGAUGACAAGUAUUUUUGGACGGAGGGAGUAUUAG
rfam:Triticum aestivum genome assembly, contig: Triticum_aestivum_CS42_TGACv1_scaffold_320696_4BL